UGCCUCUGAGCUCUCAAUAAGGGAAGCUGCAUAUCAUAAAUAAACUAAAGUAGAAAUAGCAGGGUAAAGGGCAAUAAACAUUGAUCUUACAUCCACUGCUUGCCCGUGCGUGGGUCGAUUCACAAAAGAUGCAGCUAGCUUGCCAACUAAUUGUUUAUGUUUGAGCUUGUUGGCUUGCUCUUGCUUCAUAGUUAUUUAGACAUUACCUGAAUUUACUUACUUGGUAGCCUAUGUGAGUAUCCGGAAGGAUAGAGACUGAUCUCUUUCUACAUACAUCUA
rnacentral:lncRNA from 1 species